rnacentral:rRNA from 1 species
UAUUAAAGUUGUUGCAGUUAAAAAGCUCGUAGUUGGAUUUUGGGACGUGCAUUCACAUUCAUAAAGGUGUAAAAGCCUGUGGAAGCGUCUUACUGCUCUAUUGGCGCUAAGUCACCUUCACGGGUGGUUUGGUGUCAAGGUAGUUUGGCGUUGCGGGCUCGGUCCAUCAGUGUGCCUCGCAAGGGGCCUCCAUUGGUGUGUUAACCGGCCCGCCCGUCCCCUCCUUCUGGAUUCCCGUUCCUGCUAUUGAUUUAGUGGGAACGUCACAGGGGGUCAGUCGUGUAAAAAGCGGCUGGUCUCUGGGGCCCAGAUCGUUUACCGUGAAAAAAUUAGAGUGUUCAAAGCGGGCAGAUAUUUUUCCUGCCACCGAAUACAUUAGCAUGGGAUAAUGGAAUAGGACCCUGACCUCCUAUUUUCAGUUGGUUUUGUUUACAGCGAGGUUAUAUCAGGGUAAUGAUUAAUAGGGAUAGUUGGGGGCAUUAAUAUUUAAUUGUCAGAGGUGAAAUUCUUGGAUUUAUGAAAGAUUAACUUCUGCGAAAGCGUUUGCCAAGGAUGUUUUCAUUAAUCAAGAACGAAAGUUAGGGGAUCGAAGACGAUCAGAUACCGUCGUAGUCUUAACCAUAAACGAUGCCGACCAGCGAUUAGGAGACGUUGAAUACAAAACACCGCCGUUAAUCCUUUCGGGGGUUAAUGGUUGGUGAAUGACUCCCCUAGCAGCUUGUGAGAAAUCAUAAGUCUUUGGGUUCCGGGGGGAGUAUGGUCGCAAGGCUGAAACUUAAAGGAAUUGACGGAAGGGCACCACCAGGAGUGGAGCCUGCGGCUUAAUUUGACUCAACACGGGGAAACUUACCAGGUCCGGACAUAGU